UCGUAUAAACACGCAGCAUGUUUAUCAAUGAUAAAAGACAAGACGAAAGAACUGGAAAAUAUGGAACUUCAAGGCUCCAAUAUCUUCAGGAAUUGGUGAAUCAGUUUCAGAACACAACUGAUGACGAAACAAAGGAGAAGAUUGCUGCAAAUUUGGCAAACUUUGCCUAUGAUCCAUAUAAUUAUUCAUUCCUGCGUCAGGUUCAAAUUCAUGUUUUCUGUGAAA